AUCAGAGCAUUUUACAGCCGUGGGGAUGCAACAUCAGGUGGUCUGGAAGGGGUGUCCCUGCUUCACGAGGACUUGUCCAUCGUCCUGGGUGACCGUGAUCUGCCCCGUGGUGCCUGCAAGAAAGUGAAGGGAAGUCCUGAGCUAUGCAGACAGACAGGCAAGAGUGAUUUUUGG